rnacentral:lncRNA from 1 species
UGUCAGGUAAGGUACAUCCCUGACAUCAUGCACACCAUGGCUUGAAUAUAGACCAGCUGAAUUCUAAAAGGAGAGUAUUCUUUCACUGCCACAUUCUUGAGAAAAAAACUGAAGGAAGACAUGAUGUUGAACAAUCAGUACAAUGGUGAUCCUGAAAUAAAAAAUAUAGAGACCUCUGAGGGAAAAGAAACAGGUGAUGUUUCCAAGAAGUGAAGGGGGCACAUAAGAAUCCAUGGCACACACAACCAGGAGGAUGAAGCAGAAGAAGGUGGGAAGCCCCAUUUCUUAAAAUUAAAGCUUAUACUUGGGCUUAUGAUUAUACAUAGAAAGACAAAAAUUUUAUUUGCUCCUAAAUGAUCCUU